rnacentral:rRNA from 1 species
GACGAACGCUGGCGGCGUGCCUAAUACAUGCAAGUCGAGCGAAGUUUUUCUGGUGCUUGCACUAGAAAAACUUAGCGGCGAACGGGUGAGUAACACGUAAAGAACCUGCCUCAUAGACUGGGACAACUAUUGGAAACGAUAGCUAAUACCGGAUAACAGUAUUUCUCGCAUGAGAGAUAUUUAAAAGUUGGUUAUGCUAACACUAUGAGAUGGCUUCGCGGUGCAUUAGCUAGUUGGUGGGGUAAAGGCCCACCAAGGCGACGAUGCAUAGCCGACCUGAGAGGGUGAUCGGCCACGCUGGGACUGAGACACGGCCCAGACUCCUACGGGAGGCAGCAGUAGGGAAUCUUCCGCAAUGGGCGAAAGCCUGACGGAGCAACGCCGCGUGAGUGAAGAAGGAUUUCGGUUCGUAAAGCUCUGUUGUUAGGGAAGAAUGGAUAUGUAGUAACUAUACAUGUAAG